rnacentral:lncRNA from 1 species
UGAGUAAAAAAUUAUGGAAUAAUUUACAAAUCUCAUAAACUUAUAUUUUAUUCACAAUAGAAUAUAGAUAACAUAUCAAAUGUUGAAAGUAGGGAUGGGCAUGAUUAAUCGACGAUCGAUAAUUGAUCGUUAAGAAUUUCGUUGAUCACGUUAAUUUGUUAUCGAUUAAUCUAAUGCAUUUUUUUUUAUCUAAUGCAGGUUGUGUUGUGUAGCGUAGUGUGAGUCUUGAAGCAAUUAAAUGAAUUUCACUGUGUGGCAGCAAUUAAACAUUUUACCACCAGGGUGCAAUAUUUGACACCAUACUCGGUUAUCUGUGAAUUUCCAGUUUGAUUUCAAAAGAAAAAUCAUGAAGAGGUCACGGCGAAGUCUGGCGUGGGACCAUUCUGAUUUAAAAAGUGAAAUAGUUCACUGCAAACAUUACGAUGCCAUGUAUAAGUACAACAAGGCCACGACUCAAAUGAUGUACCACUUAAACAAAGUGCAUCCGUCCCUGGUUAAUGUCGGUGGCGGUGCAUCCUGCUCUCAGUCUCAACCUAGCAUCAAGUCAGCGUUAGCACGGACUCGAGGCUGUGAUGCACAACAAGCAGAGAAAAUUACCCAAGGGAUCUGCAAGUUCCUUGAGAUGGAUAUUCUGCCCUUAAGUGUUGUUGAGGGCAAUGGUUUUCAAGAACUGAUACAUUUAUUGGAACCAGCAUAUCAAAUUCCAUCACGACGUACCAUCACCAGACUGGUAGAAACUCACUACGAAGAACGAAAGCAGCAGCUGUUAAAAGAAUUGAGCAAAGCUGAGAGAGUUGCUCUAACUACAGACUGCUGGACCGUUGUUGAGGGCAAUGGUUUUCAAGAACUGAUACAUUUAUUGGAACCAGCAUAUCAAAUUCCAUCACGACGUACCAUCACCAGACUGGUAGAAACUCACUACGAAGAACGAAAGCAGCAGCUGUUAAAAGAAUUGAGCAAAGCUGAGAGAGUUGCUCUAACUACAGACUGCUGGACCGCUUUAACAGCUGAGAGCUACAUCACCAUAACCUGCCACUACAUCAAUGAUGACUGGCAAAUGAACUCAGCGGUCCUGCUCACAGAAGCCUGCCAGGCUGGCAUACAGCUGACCACCUCGCUGAGAAAAUGAAUGGAGCUGUAGAGUAGUGGGGACUU